rnacentral:lncRNA from 1 species
AACUGGCAAACGGUCUCUUCUUAAACUUUGCCCAUUUAAACUGUAUUAGCAGUUUACAUACAUCAGUGUGGAUAAAUGACAGCUGUCUGGGAAAAGUACCCAAAACUGAAUUCAACCUCUCCCCCCCCCCCCCCCCCCCCCCCCCCCCCCCCCCCCCCCCCCCCCCCCCCCCCCCCCCCCCCCCCCCCCCCCCCCCCCCCCCCCGCUCUUCCGAUCUGUUUGCUACCCAAGCAGAGAUCCAAGCAUCUCGUGCCUUCACUAAGUUCAGCAUCAGCAGGAAGCCUCAGGCAGACCACCAGGCACAGAUAAACCAGACUGCAAGAGUAUGAAUGUAGCACUUGCUGAUGUGAAUCCACAAUGAAUGUUUCUAAUCAACAUAAAAAGAUGGAGUGACUGUGCAUUACCUUUGGUCUGUGACACAAUUUUAAAUGCUUUUGUAUAAAUUGUUGGGGAAAAUGUCAAACUUGUUCACCAGUGUGUGCUCCUACAGAAAAUUAAUAAAGGAAGUGAUUCUUGCAAAAAUAAUCACUUUAUCUGUGACCUCUUAAGUCUAGAUCCUGAGCUUAAGAACUUAACAUUUACAAUUACAAGAAAAUUUAUAUACAUUAUAGAUUCAAUAGAGGGAUUUGGUUUACAGCAAGUUAUAAUCCCACAAGCAAUAAUUACAUCUCUGUAUCUCCUGAGGGUUAAUUAUAUCAUCACCCUUCUUUGUGCCAACACUUCCUCACUGUUCCACAAGUACCAACCCCUUUAUCUCUCCAAUUAUCUAUCUGACUAAUAGAAACUAAACUUGGAACUAAGUUUUCCAACCAUAUUUUAUUUUCCAAGAUUUUUAUCAACGUAAGUCCCCAAAAGCUUGAAUACCUUACAUUUUGUCUGUUUUUCAGCCAAUGGGGUGCUGCAUCUCUUUGUGAAUCUUGAGCUUGUUAUGUAUAUAAACAGAAAUCAUGUAAUUGUUACUUCUUAUUAGAGAGAGAAAAAAAUUAAUGUUUAAAACGAAAAGAACUAAAAUACAUCAAAACACUUGGCAGCGUUUUGAUGAGCAUAAAAGAAGGGCAAUGUCUGCAUCACUCCCAGUAAAUGAGCAGUGAGACAAUCUGUUAAGCAGCUCUGAUUAGAAGUGCAGCAAAUCUCAGUCUCCAAUGCUUGCCUGAACCAGUGUCUGCCGACAAGGGAAGUCCUAUGGCCAAGGAUCCUCUUUCCCUUUCCUUCAGACUGACAGGUUGGGAAUCUAAAAUCUCCACGUAGAAAUGGUUUCCAUCACUGAGUUUUAAUCUGCCAAACUGACAGAGAAAGCAUGUGAUAUCCAUCUUAAGCUCAGCCAUGAGUUUUAAUCUGCCAAACUGACAGAGAAAGGAUGUGAUAUCCAUCUUAAGCCCAGCCGAGUGAAUAAACUGAACUGCAGCAAUCAAACAACCUCUGGGCACACGAGGUUUUUCUGCUGUGAUGUCAGGAGAUCACACAGCAAAGAGGCAAAGGGAACUGCACCACCUGCACUAAAUAUUCUGGAGAAGAGAAAGAAAACCUAAGAAUAUCGCAGAAUUAUUUAAUAAACACAGGUCACCAGUAGAAAAAAUGCUUCAGGUUACAAACGGUGCCCUGGGUGAAAUGACUGCUACAUUAUCGCUGAGAUUCACCACACGGUGGCACUUGGGACCCGGCGGCCCGGGCAGGGAGUGCCCUGGCUCCCUGCAGCUCCCAGGGCUGCAGGCUCAGCGCAGCUCCGGGCCACCCACUCGCCCACGGCAACUGCAAGAGCAGCAAAAAAGAUGAAAACCCUGCUCCAUUGGAAAUGUUAAAAACACAAACACGUUUCUCACAGCACAGCGUGUAACAAAGAAAUUAACUUCAAUCUCGUUUCGUUGUACCCAUCGUCAUGUGACUGAACUGAUGGAAAACAGCAGCCUUGGGAAUGCUACUUCCAAUGAACAGGAUCUGUAAGGCAUUAAACUCUCGAGCGACGUCCAGUCAUUGCAAAUUACCACCAAGAUAUACUGCAGAUAGCACAGACAAAUU